CUGGCGAAUGCCGGCGGGACUACAUGGUAUCAAAGGAGGUUCGAAUCCUCCCCGGCGAUCGGCGCUGAUCCAGCAAUGGAUCGGACUGAUCAUCGAGAAUGUCUCGCCAAAACUUGUCGCCACAAC
rnacentral:Y_RNA from 1 species